AUUCCAGCUCCAAUAGCGUAUAUUAAUGUUGUUGCAGUUAAAAAGCUCGUAGUUGGAUCUCUAACGCACGCGGCCGGUCCGCCCCUCACGGGGUGUGCACUGCGCCGUCGCGCGUUAUCCUGGGGGAGAGCGUCCCGCGCAUUAGGUUGUGUGGGUCGGGAUCCUCCACGUUUACUCAAAAUAAAUAAGAGUGUUCAAAGCAGGCGAUUGCUGUGAAUUCUUCAGUUGGGAAUAAUAAGAUAGGACUCGGGGACUAUUUUGUUAGUUUGCAUCUCCGAGUAAUGAUUAAUAGGGACAGUUGGAGAUAUUCAUAUUCAGUUGUCAGAGGUGAAAUUCUUGGAUUUACGGAAGAUGAACUACUGCGAAAGCAUUUAUCGAGGAUGUUUUCAUUG
rnacentral:rRNA from 1 species